rnacentral:tRNA from 1 species
ACAGUGCGUGGCCGAAUGGUUACGCUGUCCGCUUUGUAAGCGGAUGAUUCUGGGUUCGAUUCCCAUCUGUUGCA